UUAAGCGACUAAGCGUACACGGUGGAUGCCCUGGCAGUCAGAGGCGAUGAAGGACGUGCUAAUCUGCGAUAAGCGUCGGUAAGGUGAUAUGAACCGUUAUAACCGGCGAUUUCCGAAUGGGGAAACCCAGUGUGUUUCGACACACUAUCAUUAACUGAAUCCAUAGGUUAAUGAGGCGAACCGGGGGAACUGAAACAUCUAAGUACCCCGAGGAAAAGAAAUCAACCGAGAUUCCCCCAGUAGCGGCGAGCGAACGGGGAGGAGCCCAGAGCCUGAAUCAGUGUGUGUGUUAGUGGAAGCGUCUGGAAAGGCGCGCGAUACAGGGUGACAGCCCCGUACACAAAAAUGCACAUGCUGUGAGCUCGAUGAGUAGGGCGGGACACGUGGUAUCCUGUCUGAAUAUGGGGGGACCAUCCUCCAAGGCUAAAUACUCCUGACUGACCGAUAGUGAACCAGUACCGUGAGGGAAAGGCGAAAAGAACCCCGGCGAGGGGAGUGAAAAAGAACCUGAAACCGUGUACGUACAAGCAGUGGGAGCACGCUUAGGCGUGUGACUGCGUACCUUUUGUAUAAUGGGUCAGCGACUUAUAUUCUGUAGCAAGGUUAACCGAAUAGGGGAGCCGAAGGGAAACCGAGUCUUAACUGGGCGUUAAGUUGCAGGGUAUAGACCCGAAACCCGGUGAUCUAGCCAUGGGCAGGUUGAAGGUUGGGUAACACUAACUGGAGGACCGAACCGACUAAUGUUGAAAAAUUAGCGGAUGACUUGUGGCUGGGGGUGAAAGGCCAAUCAAACCGGGAGAUAGCUGGUUCUCCCCGAAAGCUAUUUAGGUAGCGCCUCGUGAAUUCAUCUCCGGGGGUAGAGCACUGUUUCGGCAAGGGGGUCAUCCCGACUUACCAACCCGAUGCAAACUGCGAAUACCGGAGAAUGUUAUCACGGGAGACACACGGCGGGUGCUAACGUCCGUCGUGAAGAGGGAAACAACCCAGACCGCCAGCUAAGGUCCCAAAGUCAUGGUUAAGUGGGAAACGAUGUGGGAAGGCCCAGACAGCCAGGAUGUUGGCUUAGAAGCAGCCAUCAUUUAAAGAAAGCGUAAUAGCUCACUGGUCGAGUCGGCCUGCGCGGAAGAUGUAACGGGGCUAAACCAUGCACCGAAGCUGCGGCAGCGACGCUGAUGCGUUGUUGGGUAGGGGAGCGUUCUGUAAGCCUGCGAAGGUGUGCUGUGAGGCAUGCUGGAGGUAUCAGAAGUGCGAAUGCUGACAUAAGUAACGAUAAAGCGGGUGAAAAGCCCGCUCGCCGGAAGACCAAGGGUUCCUGUCCAACGUUAAUCGGGGCAGGGUGAGUCGACCCCUAAGGCGAGGCCGAAAGGCGUAGUCGAUGGGAAACAGGUUAAUAUUCCUGUACUUGGUGUUACUGCGAAGGGGGGACGGAGAAGGCUAUGUUGGCCGGGCGACGGUUGUCCCGGUUUAAGCGUGUAGGCUGGUUUUCCAGGCAAAUCCGGAAAAUCAAGGCUGAGGCGUGAUGACGAGGCACUACGGUGCUGAAGCAACAAAUGCCCUGCUUCCAGGAAAAGCCUCUAAGCAUCAGGUAACAUCAAAUCGUACCCCAAACCGACACAGGUGGUCAGGUAGAGAAUACCAAGGCGCUUGAGAGAACUCGGGUGAAGGAACUAGGCAAAAUGGUGCCGUAACUUCGGGAGAAGGCACGCUGAUAUGUAGGUGAGGUCCCUUGCUCGUGGAGCUGAAAUCAGUCGAAGAUACCAGCUGGCUGCAACUGUUUAUUAAAAACACAGCACUGUGCAAACACGAAAGUGGACGUAUACGGUGUGACGCCUGCCCGGUGCCGGAAGGUUAAUUGAUGGGGUUAGCGCAAGCGAAGCUCUUGAUCGAAGCCCCGGUAAACGGCGGCCGUAACUAUAACGGUCCUAAGGUAGCGAAAUUCCUUGUCGGGUAAGUUCCGACCUGCACGAAUGGCGUAAUGAUGGCCAGGCUGUCUCCACCCGAGACUCAGUGAAAUUGAACUCGCUGUGAAGAUGCAGUGUACCCGCGGCAAGACGGAAAGACCCCGUGAACCUUUACUAUAGCUUGACACUGAACAUUGAGCCUUGAUGUGUAGGAUAGGUGGGAGGCUUUGAAGUGUGGACGCCAGUCUGCAUGGAGCCGACCUUGAAAUACCACCCUUUAAUGUUUGAUGUUCUAACGUUGACCCGUAAUCCGGGUUGCGGACAGUGUCUGGUGGGUAGUUUGACUGGGGCGGUCUCCUCCUAAAGAGUAACGGAGGAGCACGAAGGUUGGCUAAUCCUGGUCGGACAUCAGGAGGUUAGUGCAAUGGCAUAAGCCAGCUUGACUGCGAGCGUGACGGCGCGAGCAGGUGCGAAAGCAGGUCAUAGUGAUCCGGUGGUUCUGAAUGGAAGGGCCAUCGCUCAACGGAUAAAAGGUACUCCGGGGAUAACAGGCUGAUACCGCCCAAGAGUUCAUAUCGACGGCGGUGUUUGGCACCUCGAUGUCGGCUCAUCACAUCCUGGGGCUGAAGUAGGUCCCAAGGGUAUGGCUGUUCGCCAUUUAAAGUGGUACGCGAGCUGGGUUUAGAACGUCGUGAGACAGUUCGGUCCCUAUCUGCCGUGGGCGCUGGAGAACUGAGGGGGGCUGCUCCUAGUACGAGAGGACCGGAGUGGACGCAUCACUGGUGUUCGGGUUGUCAUGCCAAUGGCACUGCCCGGUAGCUAAAUGCGGAAGAGAUAAGUGCUGAAAGCAUCUAAGCACGAAACUUGCCCCGAGAUGAGUUCUCCCUGACCCUUUAAGGGUCCUGAAGGAACGUUGAAGACGACGACGUUGAUAGGCCGGGUGUGUAAGCGCAGCGAUGCGUUGAGCUAACCGGUACUAAUGAACCGUGAGGCUUAACCUU
rnacentral:rRNA from 1 species